rnacentral:lncRNA from 1 species
CAAUGUAACUACCGGACUGGGCGUAUUACAACCCUUAUAAAGAUUUAAUUUCAAGUGUUUUCAGUUCGUAGACGUAAUCUCAAGAGAACUAAGUUGAGUUAAAAAUCUUCAGCAUAAUAUAUCUGCGUAAAAUAUUUACAUACAAAAUGAAAGGUCAUUGCAUCAUCGUCUUCGUCGUAUUGAUUGCGAUAUUUGCUGGAAUGGCAACGGUCAGCGCCCGUCCUUCAAUCAUACUUCCACCAGAGUGUGGAAAUGCCUGUUUAGCACAUUAUGAAUCAAAUCCUAAUGAAAGCCGUUCAGUUUCAAAAUACAUAGGAUGCAUCAGAAAAUGCUGGGAAAAAGCUCGAUUUAAUAAUUGAAAACGUUGUUUGAGAAUACAAUUGAAGAAUCGAGUUGGAGCAUCAUGUUAAUGUAGACGUGUCCAGUUCUUGAAAUGAAAAUACAAAGAAUCUCUUACAAUUAUUGCAUGCUUCUACAUUUUCUACAGUUUUUUUUUUUGGUCUGCUUAAAUCUACAUGAUAAUUAUGAAAGGAAUAUAGUUUUUUGUGAAAGCAAUUGAUGUACUUUAAUGAAAAUAAAACAUUUUAAAAUAUUUAA